ensembl:lncRNA
UGGGUUCGCUCCCUUCUCCCCAUGUCCCCUUGCUUGCUCCGUCCCACCGCCUUGCUGUUCUUCACUCGUGCACACACACUCCUGCCAGGGCACCGGUUGUGUCUUCCGCCUGGAACAUUCUUCCGUGGCGCCCUCUCCCGCAUGGAGUCUCUGCUCAUGUCACCUCCUCGGUGAGCCUGCCCUGCCCGCCCCAUUCAUUGCUGGACAUACGACGCACUCGCUCCUGCCCGUUACGCGCUUUGUCUUUCUCCAGAGCACAGCCUCUUUGGGCGCGCAGUUUUCCGACCUGACUCGUGUGUUUGCGGUUUAGGCAGCCUCCCUACACUGCUGGGUGCUGAACAGGCUCCCUGAGGGCAGGGAUUUUGGUCCGUCCUGUCUCCCCAUGUUCCCAGUGCUCACCGAGGUGCCUGGCACACGGGGCUCUUGCAAAAUUGUUGCUGAGUGAAUGAGUGACAUGGGUUGGGUGAGCACCCUGUGGCAUGUUGUAUGGAUCAGAUGCCACAGGGGCUGCACCAUCCACUGGGUUGUCUUCACUGGUCAUAGGUGGACUCCUCAGGGGCCCUGUCACUCUACUUGGAUUGAACUUGGCAGCUGGAAGGGGCUCAGGACAGCUUUAGCCCUGGACACAACCCCGUGAUUGACCCUACAGGGUCCAGUAUGAUCCUUCUAUUGUGCAAUGCUGUGCAAGUGACAUCAUCUCCACGGCCUCAGUUUCCUUAUAGAAGGGGACCUGUUUCAUGUUGGGAGGAUUCAGUGCAGUCACGCAUAACAUGCUUAGGACAGUGUCUGGCAUGUGAGCCUCAGUGACAGUUUUAUUGUUACACCUGAUGGUGUGUCAAUGCUUUGUUGUUUUUGCUUUUGAGAUAAGAGUCUCACUACCGUGCCCAGGCUGGAGUACAGUAUUGCGAUCUCAGCUCACUGCAGCCUUGACCUGCAGGGCUCAAGCAGUCUUCCCACCUCAGCUUCCCAAGUAGCUAGAACUACAGGCACGUGCCACCACGCCCUGCUAAUUUUUGUUUUGUUUUGUUUUGUAUAGACGGGGUUUAGCCAUGUUGCCCAGGCUGGUCUUAAACUCCUGGACUCAAGCAAUCUGCCCACCUUGGCCUCCCAAAGUGCAGGGAUUACAGGGGCAUGAGCCACUGUGCCCAGCCUUGAUGAAGCUUUGUAAUGGAAGCUGAGAUGCCACCAACUGGGGCCCAGUUUGGUUCCAUGGCUUUAGCCCACAGCUGGGCCACCUGCACUACAGAGGGAUCUGGUGGUCUCAGCUGUCAUGAGGGAGAGAGGCGCUGGCUUGAGAACCAGAACUAUGUUCAAGUCCUGACUCGGCCACCUCCUUAAUUGUCCUUUUGGGAAAAUCUUGCCAUCUUUCUGAGUCUCGUUUUCUCCAUCUGUUAAAACAGGGCAGUUUAAAUGAAGUACCAGAGUGGUUGAGAGAUUUAAAUGAGACCCUGAGUGCCAGUGCUUAUUUGUUCCAUUUUAUUUAUAUGCUGUCUCAAUAAAAAAACGAAAAGACAAAAAGGAAUUGAGCUGAAAAGGAUUGAAACUGUGCGGGCAGCUGCAAGUGAAGGAGUCCAAGAAAAUGCUGUUUGUGAGGCACUGUUGACAUGCUCGGGGCUAACCACUGUGUGCUUCUGAGGCUGUGUGCUUCUGAGCCUCCUAGCAGCCUGAGUGAUGAGGGAAACAUGCUCAGAUCCUUGAUUCUCAGCAGCAAGCCAGACUAAGGCCUUAUUAAGGGGCCCUGCCUUGAAGGCUCCAGUGACUCAGAGGGGAGCUCCUAAGCACUGGUGAGUCCGUGCUCAGAAGGGCACAGCUGGCUGCGAGUAACUAGAUCCUGAAAGCCAGCCAAGGGGCAGCUGGGUCAAUCUGACCUUAGCAGGUCCACGGAAGCCCUUUACGCCAAGCAAGCUGUUGCCUUGCCUCUCUGAGUUCCUCUUACCUUGCUUUGCUAAAGCCUUUGUUCGUGCUGCCAGGGGAUUUAGAGUCUGAAUGGCAGCCCCAGGCCAUGCCCUCCCCAUAGCUUACACCAGUUGUGUAACUUGGAAUGUCCCCCACAGAGGCAGGUCCCAAGUAGAGAACAAUGGCCCACUAAGGCCAGGCACAGUGGCUCACCUGUAAUCCCAGCAGGCAGAUCACCUGAGGUCAGGAGUUCAAAACCAGCCUAACCAACAUGGUGAAACCCCACCUCUACUAAAAAUACAAAGUUAGCCAGUGUGGUGGCGCAUGUCUGUAAUCCCAGCUACUCAGGAGGCUGAGGCAGGAGAAUUGCUUGAGGCAGAGGUUGUGGUGAGCCGAGAUUGCACCAUUGCGCUCCAGCCUGGGCAACAAGAGCAAAACUCCGUCUCAAAAAAAAAAAAAAGAAAAA